GCAAGAAAUGAUGCAUGAAACCACUUUACAAAAUAAAAUGAAUUAACAGAGAAUUAGACAAUGUUGACUUACAUUGACUUACAUGUUCAAGCCUGUCUCAAAAUACAACACUACCCCUUUUAUUAAAUCAACAUAAGCUGUUUACCUAACUGGCUUUUCAAAGGCAUAUAGUUCAGUUUUGUGCUCUUGUAGUCAGCAAUAACUCCCCACUUCUGACCUAUAUUUAUCUAUAACUGGGAUAAUAACUCACUAACUAGCAAAGAAUAUCAACAAAUGUUCACACUCUGAUCUGAAAAGUGCAAUUCACUUGCAGAUGAUUGAGAGACUCGUGGACUACCUUCGCCCCCCCCAUUCUACAGUAGGUCCCACUCUACAGUAGGUCCCCACUCUACAGUAGGUCCCCAUUCUACAGUAGGUCCCCAUUAUACAGUAGGUCCCAUUCUACAGUAGUUCCCCAUUCUACAGUAGGUCCCCAUUAUACAGUAGUUCUCCAUUAUACAAUAGGUCCCCAUUCUACAGUAGGUCCCCAUUCUACAGUAGAUUCAAUUCUACAGUAGGUCCCCAUUCUACAGUAGCUCCCCAUUCUACAGUAGGUCCCCAUUCUACAGUAGAUUCCAUUCUACAGUAGGUCCCCAUUCUACAGUAGGUCCCCAUUCUACAGUAGAUUCCAUUCUACAGUAGGUCCCCAUUCUACAGUAGGUCCCCAUUCUACAGUAGAUUCCAUUCUACAGUAGGUCCCCAUUCUACAGUAGGUCCCCAUUCUACAGUAGAUUCCAUUCUACAGUAGGUCCCCAUUCUACAGUAGGUCCCCAUUCUACAGUAGAUUCCAUUCUACAGUAGGUCCCCAUUCUACAGUAGGUCCCCAUUCUACAGUAGAUUCCAUUCUACAGUAGGUCCCCAUUCUACAGUAGGUCCCCAUUCUACAAUAGGUCCCCAUUAUACAGUAAUCCCCAUUCUACAGUAGGUCCCCAUUCUACAGUAGGUCCCUUUCUACAGUAGGUCCCACUCUACAGUAGGUCCCUUUCUACAGUAGGUCCCACUCUACAGUAGGUCCCACUCUACAGUAGGUCCCACUCUACAGUAGGUCCCCAUUCUACAGUAGGUCCCCAUUCUACAGUAGGUCCCCAUUCUACAGUAGAUCCCCAUUCUACAGUAGAUCCCCAUUCUACAGUAGGUCCCACUCUACAGUAGGUCCCACUCUACAGUAGGUCCCCAUUCUACAGUAGA